ACGUCGAAACAUCGGUUCCCGUACGAUUACCGAAGUUAAGCAAUGUCAAGCCUGGUCAGUACCUAGAUGAGUGACCUGCUUCGGAAUACCAGGUUCCGUAA